GUGCCAGACUCCUACGGGAGGCAGCAGUCGGGAAUAUUGCACAAUGGAGGAAACUCUGAUGCAGUGACACCGCGUAUAGGAAGAAGGUUUUCGGAUUGUAAACUAUUUUAGACAGGGAAGAAAAAAGACAGUACCUGUAGAAUAAGCUCCGGCUAACUACGUGCCAGCAGCCGCGGUAAUACGUAGGGGGCAAGCGUUAUCCGGAUUUACUGGGUGUAAAGGGAGCGUAGACGGCGCUGCAAGUCCGGAGUGAAAGCCCAUGGCUUAACCAUGGUACUGCUCUGGAAACUGUGGAGCUUGAGUGCGGGAGGGGCAGGCGGAAUUCCUAGUGUAGCGGUGAAAUGCGUAGAUAUUAGGAGGAACACCGGCGGCGAAGGCGGCCUGCUGGACCGUAACUGACGUUGAGGCUCGAAAGCGUGGGGAGCAAACAGGAUUAGAUACCCUAGUAAU
rnacentral:rRNA from 1 species